UACAUAUAUAUAUAUACAUAUAUACAUGAAAUUGCAUACAUUCGCUCAUACAGUGUAUCAACUUAUAUCCGCAUAGAUUUUUCGUAAUCCUUUCGUCUCAUGGAUAUAUUAGUCGUAUUCCACAAAGAGCAUUGAUAGUAAAGUACAGAGUACAGAUACUUUGGUAAAGAAAAAUUAAAAGGUAUCUUACUGAAAGUAAUUAAAGCAAAUAUAUUUUUAUAUAAUUUCAAAAUUACAAGGAGCAAAAUUGAUGUAGAAAAUACCACAGCGUUGUAACUUCUUUAAAUCUUGUUGCUAGCAAAACAAAAAUCAGAGAAAAGAAUUCUUCCUUCUUCCAUUAGAAUUCAAUUCAUAAUUUUAAAAUUAACACUCAGUAUUUAACUGAUAUAUUAUUAUUUUAGGAGAGUUAUCAUACAUAAUUACAGUUUCAACCACGUUGUAUUUAUAUGUUUCUCCGUUGUUUUACAUUUCAUCUGGUCCCUUCUUUACACUGGAUGUAAACAACUACUUUUCUCUCCUCUUCGCUCGUCCUUCCUUCACGCUGAUUCUGACUCUCUAUUUUAAUGUUUUUCUUUCCGUCUCUAUUUUAGUUUCUUUCUUUCCGUCUCUCUAUUUCCCCUGUUCUUCAUGAUAUUAAUAUCUAUAUCUAUAGGGAUAUCUAUAAAUAUAUAACUUUAAUUGACAACGUAACAACUCCUAUGAGUGUAUGAGGUUAAUUUAUAAGAAAUAGCUUUGAGAAGUAACAGGGGGAACAAAAAAUCCUGAAAGUAACGUACUGAUAACCUGCUGUGAAUUAUUAGAAUACAUAGAAGAUAAAAGAAAAAUAAUAAUUGAAAUACAAAAUUAUGCAACAAUCGACAUGCAAUAAGUAAGAUCAAAGGAUACAAACUUUCACAAGAAUCUGUUAACAAAACUCAUUUCAACUACUUCACAACUAAUUCUAUCUGAAUCAUCUUUAUCUGUUGCUUUAUCAACCUCUCUUUCAGUUUUUGUCUCUCCCUACAACAACAAUUACUACUGUUAAUAGUACUGGUUAAUAAUUUUAUUCAUCUUGCCAAUAAUUCUCGUUGCAUUUGCAUAUAUAUAUAUGUGUGUGUGUGUGUGUAUUGUAUACACACACAGAGAAGAUCAUAUAUAAAACAUGUGAUCGUGUUCAGGAUUUACCAUUGCCGAAGUCUAAGGAUUACAUACAUGGAUGGAUAUACAGCUUGGAAUUAAUGCUUAAUUAAAGGAUAACAUACGGCAUGAGGAUAAGGAGUGAUUGAGUCCUCAAGAACGCAAUUUAAAGCAUAAAUAGAAAACGAAAAAUAUUGCAGUGAAGUGCAAUAUCCACUUCAGCGUCACCGUCAUCGUCUGUUUCCACCAUUUUAAUAUGAAGACGCAAUGUCUUAUACUUGGCGUGAAUAUUUGAAUUAAUAAGAAGGAAUAAUAUCCCGUCGACCAGCUGUAUCACCGUGUAUGUACUAUCCUAAGUAAGAGCACAGAGAUCGUCCCUUGGCUUUCACAAAUCCAUUCAACUGUUAUUCCCUUAACAGUGGCAUCAAUAACAACUAUUUACUCCACAUGUUCGCAACUUCCAAAGAAAAACUAUAAAAAGGAUAAAUAAAAUUUCUGC
rnacentral:lncRNA from 1 species